rnacentral:tRNA from 1 species
GCAGACGUAGUUUAUUCAAAACGUUGGAUUGUGAUUCCAAAAAAAGAGGUUAGACCCCUCUCGCCCGCC